GCGGGAAUAGCUCAGUUGGUAGAGCCCCGGAUUGUGAUUCCGGCUGUCGCGGGUUCAAGCCCCGUUUCUCGCC
rnacentral:tRNA from 1 species